AGACCAGCGCUUGCACAGCAGUCUGAUAGGACCGAUCUCCGAAUUGAUACACGUGAUAAAACCACAACCUGUGAGUAAAGUUGUAAAAAAACAAUGUCGUUUGAUAGCAAAAAUAUCUACAACAAUGUAUUUUUGAGGUGAUUCCUUACUGACAGGAAAGUUCAUCUGACAGAAAUAGGUUUAAGUUAAUCAGCUAACUUAUUUUUAACAAAUAAAUGUCCUUUAUUAAAAAGGAAAGUCUAUAAAUAUUUUGAUGCUUUCAUUUAUGUUAUUAUUUUAUACUCUGCAAGAUACUGUUGUAUAAUCACUUUUGCUUUACUUCAAUACAGAGAGCCUUGGGUAAAAAAAAGGCAGAGUACCAGUGGUUAAAGACACACAAAAUGUGGACAUCAAAACAAAUGGCUACAUUUGCUCGUGAGGAAGAUGAUAACGAAGAGGAUGAGACUCCUUCAAACCAUAAGAUAGUGGAUGAUUCACACUCAACUGCAAAGCAAUGAAAGAACACAUCUGUCACUAAAUUGAACCCAGUCACCUUGGAUUAUGCCCAAAAGUGUAUUACAAGAAACUCACCAGAACUGUGAUGGACUCCAUUUCCACCUUAGAAAAAAUGACAACAUGCUCCGUCACAGGGAAAAAAGGGACCACUGGUGAACAAAGACAGAGUCCUGACAGAGAAAGUGAAGCUAGUAAUAGGGAGCCUGCUGGAAGAGAAUCUGAGGACUGAUGCACAUAUAACAAUGGACAUGCAUAAAGACACAUCUCUAACAAUGGACAUGCAUAAAGACACAUAUCUCUCUCUCUCUCUCUCUC